UGCGAGUCAUAUGUUCUUCGUGAACAUGGCGUACUGCUCAGUAACACGUGGAUAACCUGCCCUUGGGACCGGGAUAACCCCGGGAAACUGGGGAUAAUACCGGAUAACGCAUAUCUGCUGGAAUGCUUUAUGCGUAAAAUGGAUUUGUCUGCCCAAGGAUGGGUCUGCGGCCUAUCAGGUAGUAGUGGGUGUAAUGUACCUACUAGCCUACGACGGGUACGGGUUGUGAGAGCAAGAGCCCGGAGAUGGAUUCUGAGACAUGAAUCCAGGCUCUACGGGGCGCAGCAGGCGCGAAAACUUUACAAUGCGGGAAACCGUGAUAAGGGGACACCGAGUGCCAGCAUCAUAUGUUGGCUGUCCAGAUGUGUAAAAUACAUCUGUUAGCAAGGGCCGGGCAAGACCGGUGCCAGCCGCCGCGGUAACACCGGCGGCCCGAGUGGUGAUCGUGAUUAUUGGGUCUAAAGGGUCCGUAGCCGGUUUGGUCAGUCCUCCGGGAAAUCUGACGGCUCAACCGUUAGGCUUUCGGUGGAUACUGCCAGACUUGGAACCGGGAGAGGUAAGAGGUACUACAGGGGUAGGAGUGAAAUCUUGUAAUCCCUGUGAGACCACCUGUGGCGAAGGCGUCUUACCAGAACGGGUUCGACGGUGAGG
rnacentral:rRNA from 1 species